rnacentral:lncRNA from 1 species
UGUUUUUUUUUUUUUUUUUCCUUUUACAUGAAAAUUGAAAAGUGUUCAUGGCUUUAGCAACAGGCUUUUGGAGGGUUUUGUGUGAGGCUUUUCAUAUGAUAAUUGGUAGAUUCUAUGGCAACCAUUGAAAAAGAAGCCCUGAAAACAAAAGCUGCAGCAGAAGAGGAUCAGUACAUAUUCACUAUGUCUGCGGGAAUAACGGCAGAGACUCACUCUUCAGAAAGGAUUCUGUUCAGCAAAACCACAAAACAUUGCACCACCUUGGUCUUAU